UGUGGAAGGUAAGCGCUGCAAAGCUGGAAACAGGGCAAUGGUGCUGAGGACUGCUGCCUGAUAUUAAUGUCCUGUGGCGGUUUACGUUUCUUACAAGGCCUCUGGAAUUGACCACUCUGAAAGGGAAAACACCAGGCUUUCUGGAUCAUGGACAUCUGAUCACUUUUUUAUUAAAAAGGCUGCUGCUUCUGGGAGCUGAUGGUUUCAGAGAGAGAGAGAGAGAGAGAGAGAGAGAGAGCAUCCUUUACAUUCUUAAAACUGGAUGGAGCAACCUGUUCCAGUCCACCCACCAAAUCAGUGCUGGGCAAACUCUCCUUGGCUCCAUUUGGAAUUGGCUGAGAUUGUACAAGCUUUCUUGGUGGUUGUUUUGGGAGCAGAACGCAGAAGAGCCAUGUCUCAAUGGUGGUAAAAGGCCCUACUGUGGAAAGGAUCUGCGUGAAGAGCACAUCCUAUGGAUGCCAUGCCAUAGGAUACCGGUAAUAAGGGGACACUAUUGUCAACAGGAAGGUAUCUA